AACGAACGCUGGCGGCAUGCCUAACACAUGCAAGUCGAACGAGACCUUCGGGUCUAGUGGCGCACGGGUUCGUAACGCGUGGGAACCUUCCCUUAGGUUCGGAAUAACUCCCCGAAAGGGGUGCUAAUACCGGAUAAUGUCUUCGGACCAAAGAUUUAUCGCCUUUGGAUGUGCCCGCGUUGGAUUAGCUAGUUGGUAGGGUAAAAGCCUACCAAGGCGACGAUCCAUAGCUGGUCUGAGAGGAUGAUUAGCCACACUGGGACUGAGACACGGCCCAGACUCCUACGGGAGGCAGCAGUGGGGAAUAUUGGACAAUGGGCGAAAGCCUGAUCGAGCAAUGCCGCGAGAGUGAUGAAGGCCUUAGGGUUGUAAAGCUCUUUUACCCGGGAUGAUAAUGACAGUACCGGGAGAAUAAGCUCCGGCUAACUCCGUG
rnacentral:rRNA from 1 species